AACUUAUAGUUCUAUUAGAGAACUUUUCACUUACACUGAAAUAGGUCUUGUGCGAUUCAGGAUUGGUUGAU
rnacentral:tRNA from 1 species